rnacentral:rRNA from 1 species
UACGUAGGGGGCAAGCGUUGUCCGGAUUUAUUGGGCGUAAAGAGCGUGUAGGCGGCCCGGUAAGUCCGCUGUGAAAGUCGGGGGCUCAACCCUCGAAUGCCGGUGGAUACUGUCGGGCUAGAGUGCGGAAGAGGCGAGUGGAAUUCCUGGUGUAGCGGUGAAAUGCGCAGAUAUCAGGAGGAACACCGAUGGCGAAGGCAGCUCGCUGGGACGGUACUGACGCUGAGGCGCGAAAGCGUGGGGAGCAAACAGG